AUCCAGCUGACGAAUCCGAAAUAGGACGAAACACGCGUCCUGGAU
rfam:Schistosoma mansoni, Puerto Rico, WGS project CABG01000000 data, contig: 0097